GGAGCACGACUUGCAAAACAGCUCAGUUUGCUACCAUAGCAGCCAAGACUGUCAUAACAAAUAAGAUGUUACAGUCCUUCUAGAUUCUCUGUGGACUUCCUGAAGAGGGAAGUAACAGCCUCCUUAAAAAGUUAAUGAGUUCUAGCAAGAGUUACACAACAUCUGAACAAGACUAGAGUUUCGUGGUGGGGUUACCAUUUCUAAAGUCUGCAUCCGGAGAACUUUACAAGAACAUUUGAGACACAAUCCGUAGCAAAACAACAUUAGAGCUCUGUUCAGCAAAAGGAUGGAUGGCUUGGAUAAGCAGUUUUCAAAUGGUGGGACAGGACCCAAAAGUAGGUCGUGAGAGAGUACCAGCUGAGUUGCACAAAGCAGCUUGAGACCUGCAAAACCCAAGGUCAUCAGGAUCCAGCAGGAGUCUUGACCAAGACGAAAAAUAGCAGCUCACUACACCUCUCCCUUCCAUCCACCACCUACUCCCAACAUCCAUUGGCUCAGGUGCUGAAGAAGUGCUUGAACCAUGACUAGUUUACACAUAUCUAAACUGGCCUGGAUUUGCAUAAAUCAGGUUGCUUUAUAAUUAGUUACUCAUGAAAAGAGUGGGCUACAUUUUCAGUGAAUAUUAUUUAUAACCAGUGGCCUGAACAGUUCUAGCAACACUUUCUACUUAUACACAGUGACUGCAAUUAAAAAAAAAAACAACACCACAUUUGCAAUAGUUACUGUGUUAAUCUCAGACUCCAGAUAUGUGGUUUCCUUCUAAAUUUAAAGAAAUCUGUGAUAAAUGUGAGGCACAUAUUGGGGCUUCUUAGUGGAUACUAUGGAAGCUUGCGUCAGGCAAGCAUUGCAAAGCUGUUUGUAAACAUUAAUUCUUCUAGGACUUCUGCAGGGUAAACAAAUACUUUGUUAUUACACACUUUGUAAAUGGCUAAACUGAAACAGAGAGGUCAGCUGACUUUCCCAAGGUCUAACAGCAAGUCAGUGAUUAAGGAUUGGUGGUCUCUGUUAUUGGGUUGUGCUAAAAGCUAAAUUUACUACCUUUCUAU